rnacentral:rRNA from 1 species
CCUACGGGUGGCUGCAGUGAGGAAUAUUGGUCAAUGGGCGGGAGCCUGAACCAGCCAAGUCGCGUGAGGGACGACGGUCCUAUGGAUUGUAAACCUCUUUUGUCGGGGAACAAAGGCGCCCACGGGUGGGCGGCUGAGUGUACCCGAAGAAAAAGCAUCGGCUAACUCCGUGCCAGCAGCCGCGGUAAUACGGAGGGUGCAAGCGUUGUCCGGAAUCAUUGGGCGUAAAGAGUUCGUAGGCGGCAUGUAAAGUCAGGUGUUAAAGGCGCAGGCUCAACCUGUGUAUGGCACUUGAUACUUGCAAGCUGGAAUGCGGUAGAGGUAAAGGGAAUUCCUGGUGUAGCGGUGAAAUGCUUAGAUAUCAGGAGGAACAUCGGUGGCGUAAGCGCUUUACUGGGCCGUAAUUGGCGCUGAGGAACGAAAGCCAGGGUAGCAAAUGGGAUUAGAUACCCCUGUAGUC